rnacentral:rRNA from 1 species
GACGAACGCUGGCGGCGUGCUUAACACAUGCAAGUCGUACGGUAAGGCCCUUUCGGGGGUACACGAGUGGCGAACGGGUGAGUAACACGUGAGUAACCUGCCCACAACUUUGGGAUAACGCUAGGAAACUGGUGCUAAUACUGGAUAUGUGCUCCUGCUGCAUGGGGGGGGUUGGAAAGCUCCGGCGGUUGUGGAUGGCCUCGCGGCCUAUCAGCUUGUUGGUGGGGUAGUGGCCUACCAAGGCGGCGACGGGUAGCCGGCCUGAGAGGGUGACCGGCCACAUUGGGACUGAGAUACGGCCCAGACUCCUACGGGAGGCAGCAGUGGGGAAUAUUGCACAAUGGGCGCAAGCCUGAUGCAGCAACGCCGCGUGCGGGAUGACGGCCUUCGGGUUGUAAACCGCUUUCAGCAGGGACGAAGCUUUUUGUGACGGUACCUGCAGAAGAAGCACCGGCUAACUACGUG